CACUUAGUUCACACUACCACUAGAAAGAGAUCUGAGGACAUCUCAUUACGGGUCAUAUCAGAACGACCUUUCAUCUGACCAAUCAGAGCUUCACUUACCAGAUCCUGAAAGUGACAGUCGGAACGUGUUUUCUAAUCACGCAACCUUGAAAAAGCCACAAAUACCACAGGGUAUUCUGAAUGACAGUUACAGGAGGAUGGACUGAUUCUGUCAAAAUGCUCAUCUCAUGGGAUAAACAUUAUGACAGAAGAGACAGCACAGCCUGUGGGAAGUACUGCCAUGCAAUCUCUACCAUCUAUUAGACAUUCCACAAUUUUAUUGAGCUUAGUUUUCAGAUCUUGAAUUGAUAGUUUGCUAAGCGUGAAUAGAUCACAUUCACAUGCAAUCAUAUAUAUUCAUUCAGAACCUCAUAAGGAUGACAUCAUAGAAAUAAACUGAACUCAUAUAUUUAACAAGUACAUUCAAUGAUGUGUUAUUAUUUACAGUAAUUUUCUAUAUAUCUACAUAUAUAUGUAUCUGUUUACAUGCAUAAUGAUAUAAUAUUCAUAAUUAUAAAUUACAUUAAUACACAAAAAUACACUCCUACCCUGUGGUUGAUCCUAGGGCACAACCUGAGUUCACCAAGUGAUGAGCUGACUAGACUAGGGUGCCUGCAUCUAAAUACAAAUAGACUCAGUUAGGAAAACUGGGUAGUGUAGCAAACAUGAAUUAUGUAUUAUUCAUAACACACCUAUGAGUGCUUCACAUGCAUUAACAACAUAGAAAAUUUCAAACAAACACAUACAUGGUAGUAAAUACACACCCACUCAUUCUCCUAGAAAUGUUGAAGAUAUAUAGUGCUAGGUUUCUGUAUGCCUUAAACUAUUAAAAAACUUGCUGACCUAUCUAUAAUAUUUAAAUGGCUGCAAUUAUGUGACUACGUGUAUUGACAAUUAAGAUAAAAGUUAAAACUUUGUAACUGUAUAACAGAUUACACAAACACAUACAUAAUUACAAGAUGCACAGAAUACACCACCAACACGUGAGGACAAUCUCGAGAUGAGACAUGACACACCAAGCAAAUGACGGAUGUGGAUUCUGAUUAAAGGCUGAGUGUGUGUUAGUAUUUUUAACAAGGCCAAUCAAGCAUAAGCUGACUUAAACAAAAGGACCCAAGAAACCUUCCAUACCCCAUACUAAUAGUAGUUGAAUAAAAGCAGGGCCAAGUUAUUAUUCUGCUGAAAGUACAGCAGUAGAAGUACAUCAGCUGUACCGGUUUAUUCAAUACAGCACAGUAAUCAUGUCAUUACAAUAUUCAUAUACAAAUAUGUAAAAUACAGAAGGCUUACAUUUGUACAACACUGCAACAUACUGUUUGAUUUCACAUCAUGUGACAUGGCUGUGUGUGAUUGUCAAAUGACAUGCAAGGAUGGUUGUCUGAAUAAACAUGAGAGAGAGAUAAACUGUCCACUGGUCACUUUGUUACCAUUGUCUGGUUUUACUGGUCCUUAUCAGGGACUGACCAUUUGAUAUAAUGGAAAACCACAUACCUUUUUAAUUAUACCUAUGAGCCUAAAUCUUUUUUUGAAAGAAAACGUCUUUUUCCAAAUCUCUGAAGCAUACAUAUAUUUUUAAGCAUUUUCUGGGACAAUAUAUUUUUUUCAAUAAAAUCCUAGCCUCUUCUCCCCCCCAUCCUUUAAUAUCAAAUUAUUUGUCCCUUACCAAUACCAAUUGUUUCCAUUUCAAUAUUAUAUAUAUAUAUUAUAAUUUCAUUUAAAUUACCAGCAAAUUCUUUUUUGUAGUAGUUGGUAUUUUUCUUUGUUGAUUCACCAUAUGAACUCGCAGACAUGUUUUCAACCGAAAUAGCUUCAGACCUAGACUGGGACAUGCAUAAUGUGUUGUAUGCAAUUAUUGAUAUAUACAUCCUUCUGAAAUUUGUUUUACAAUAAGUCUGUCUAUAUAUAUUGGUUGAUAUAUUGUGAAUGUUUUAUGCAGAUAUUAUAUUUUGUAUUUUUGACAGAAUUUUAGUACAUGAAUAAAAUAUUUUGCCAAGC